CAAUAGCGUAUAUUAAAGUUGUUGCAGUUAAAAAGCUCGUAGUUGAAAUGGUAAUUAUUGUAUAUCGGCAAAGAGAUUUGACUGAAUACAAACGAUUAUUUUCUUAUAUUUAAAUUUUUAUAUAUAAGACGGUUACCGUGAGGAAAUUAGAGUGCUCCAAGCAGGCAAUUGCUAUGAAUAUUGCAGCAUGGUAUAACACUAAUAUGGUUUAAUAUUUUUAGAUGGUAAGAAUAUUUAACAAUGGUAAAUAGGAGCGGUCGAGGAUAUCUGUAUUUAACAGUCAGAGGUGAAAUUCUAGGAUUUGUUAAAGACAAACAAGUGCGAAAGCAUUUAUCAAGGACGUAUNCAUUAA
rnacentral:rRNA from 1 species